GAUGAACGCUGGCGGCGUGCCUAAUACAUGCGAGUCGAACGAAACUUCUUUAUCACCGAGUGCUUGCACUCACCGAUAAAGAGUUGAGUGGCGAACGGGUGAGUAACACGUGGGCAACCUGCCCAAAAGAGGGGGAUAACACUUGGAAACAGGUGCUAAUACCGCAUAACCAUAGUUACCGCAUGGUAACUAUGUAAAAGGUGGCUAUACUACCGCUUUUGGAUGGGCCCGCGGCGCAUUAGCUAGUUGGUAGGGUAAAGGCUUACCAAGGCAAUGAUGCGUAGCCGAAUUGAGAGGUUGAUCGGCCACAUUGGGACUGAGACACGGCCCAAACUCCUACGGGAGGCAGCAGUAGUGAAUCUUCCACAAUGGGCGAAAGCCUGAUGGAGCAACGCCGCGUGGGUGAAGAAGGUCUUCGGAUCGUAAAACCCUGUUGUUAGAGAAGAAAGUGCGUGAGAGUAACUGUUCACGUUUCGACGGUAUCUAACCAGAAAGCCACGGCUAACUACGUG
rnacentral:rRNA from 1 species